GGUUGUAUUUAUCAAUUAUUAACUUCAAAAAUUCAAAAAAAAAUUUGAAAAUCGAAAAAAAUAUUAUGUACCGGUACCGGACCGGUACGCCUAGGCAUACCAUGUGUCGGUACGGUACGGUAUCGAUACCAUACCGUACCGAUCCGACACCGGCAUGCCGUCCGGUACCAGUACAGCAAACCUUGUUAGAUAAUACUGUUACUUUUAUGAAGGAAAACAAAUGACAUUGAAAGGUAUUACAGAAGGAUCCAAAUUAAAGACUACUAAGAUCAAACUUCAAAUGAUCACUGCUAUACAGUGGUACAGGUCUGGACUUAAGGGAGACUGUUGUGCAGUUGGGCAACUGAAGAAUUUUGAUGGAAAAAGAACAGAGGUAGAGAUAUCUGAUUAAGUCAAUACAAUAUUAAAACAGUACACUGAUGUGUUCCAAGAGCCUAAAGGAUUGCCACCUAUUAGACCAUAAGAUCACAGAAUACCAUUGUUACCGGGCACUAAUCUAGUUAAUAUCAGACUAUACAGAUAUACAUAUAAACAGAAAAAUGAGAUUGAAAGACAAAUACAGGAGAUGCUUAAAACUACCAUUAUUCAGUCUAGCACCAGUCCUUACACUUCACCUAUAUUAUUGGUAAAAAAAAGAUAACAGUUGGAGAUUUUGUGUGGACUAUAGGCAGCUCAAUAAAGCAACAGUGAAAAAUAAAUAUCCUAUAUCCUUAAUUGAUGAUCUUUUAGAUGAACUUGAAGGUUCUCAGUAUUUCUCUAAAAUAGAUUUGAGAUCAGGUUACUAUCAAAUCAGAAUGAACCCAGAAGAUGUAUAUAAGAUAGCUUUUAGAAUUCACAUGGAUCAUUAUGAAUUCUUAGUGAUGCCCUUCGGAUUAACUAAUGCACCAACCACAUUUCAAGCUACCAUGAAUGAGGUGUUCUCUUUUUAUCUCAGAAAGUUUGUGCUAGUAUUUUUUGAUGAUAUUUUGGUAUACAGCAAAACCUUAGAGGAGCAUGUGGAACAUCUCACUGAAGUAUUGACUAUAUUAAGAAGAAAUCAGUUGUAUGCAAAAAGAUCUAAAUAUUUCUUUGGAUAGCAACAAGUGGAAUAUCUGGGGCAUAUAAUUUCUAAAGAAGGUGUGGCAACUGAUCUUGAGAAGGUGAUAGCCAUGCAAAAGUGGCCUAAACCAACUACAUUGAAGGAGUUGAGGGGAUUUUUGGGGCUCAUAGGAUACUAUAGAAGGUUUAUAAAAGGCUAUGGAUCAAUUAGCAAACCUCUAACAGAGCUACUUAAAAAAAAGAUAAUUUUUAUUGGGAUGAAACCACACAAAAAGCAUUUGAGAAGUUAAAAGAAGUAAUGUCUACAGCACCAGUCUUAGCUAUACUGAAUUAUUCCUUACCCUUCACUUUGGAAGUAGAUGCCAGUGGAUAUAGAAUUGGAGUAGUCCUCACACAACAAGGAAGACCUGUAGCUUACCUCAGUAAAGGUUUAAAUGAAAGGAAUCAAGCACUUUCUAUUUAUGAAAAAGAAUUCCUAGCUAUUUUGAUGGCUGUAGAAAAAUGGAAGCACUAUAUUAGUGCCCAACCCUUCAUCAUUAAAACAGAUCACCAAAGUUUAAAAUACUUAUUAGAAUAAAAAGUAACUACUGCAGCAUAGCAAAAAGGUAUGAUGAAACUUAUGGGGUUGGAUUAUGUGAUACAUUAUAAGAAGGGGAAAGAAAAUUUGGCUACAAAUGCAUUAUCCAGAUGGAGAAUUGAAGAAGAAAAGGUGCAAGCCAUUACAGCAGUGGUACUUACAUGAAGUGUGGAAAUAGCUAACAGUUAUGAAGGAGACCAACAGACUCAACAACUUAUAGCAGAAGUACUCAUAGAGCCAGAAUCACAUACUGAAUGCACUUAUAAACAAGGAGUGCUUAAGUUUAAAGAGAGAAUUUACAUUGGAAAAAUAGGAGAGUUGAGACAAAAGCUCCUAGAACUUAUGCAUGCUUCAGCUUUAGGAGGGCACUCAGGAAUGAACCAUACUUAUAAGAGAAUUAAGCAAUUAUUUUAUUGGUCAGGAAUGAAACAACAAGGGGAGAAACUAGUGAAAGAAUGUGAAAUUUGUAUUAAAAACAAAAUUGAGGGAACUCCAUAUGCAAGUCUACUACAACCUCUGCAAAUUCCAACACAAGCCUGGCAAGAAAUCAGUAUGGAUUUCAUUGAGUCAUUACCAAAAUCAGAAGGUAAAGACAUUAUAUUAGUAGUGGUGGAUCGGUUAACUAAAUAUUCAUAUUUUAUUCCCUUGACUCAUCCCUAUACAGCACAGAAUGUAGCAAGAUCAUUCUUGGAUACAAUAUACAAGUUACAUGGGAUGCCACAAAGUAUUAUAUCAGACAGAGAUAAGAUCUUCACUAGUCAGGUAUGGCAAGAUCUAUUCAAAAUAAUGGGGGUCAAAUUACAUCUGAGUACUGCUUAUCACCCACAGACAGAUGGACAAACAGAGAGAGUAAACCAAUGCUUAGAAACAUAUUUAAGAUGCUUAUGUUUUCACAGUCCGCACAGAUGGCUUAAGUGGCUAUCCCUGACUGAGUGGUGGUAUAAUAUCAACUAUCACUCCUCCCUAGGAAUGACACCUUACCAAGCCCUGUAUGGAUAUCCACCUCACAUGUACCCAAUAGUCAACAUGGACAUGCAACCGCAAGGUACAGUGGCAGAUUGGAACAGAGAAAGAACAAAGAUGAUACAGAUCUUAAGAGACAGACUUAAGGAAGCACAAAACUGCAUGAAACAAAAUGCAGAUAAGAGAAGAAUAGAUAAAAAAUAUCAAGUAGGAAAAUUGGUAUAUCUUAAACUCCAACCCUACCGACAGACUACAGUAGCCAUGCGCAGAAAUUCAAAACUUCACAGUAUUAUGGACCAUUCAAGAUACUAAAAAAAAUUAGACCUGUGGCUUAUGAGCUUAAUCUGCCCGAGGGAUCUAAAAUACAUCUCGUAUUUUAUGUAUCUUUAUUAAAAAGAGAGAUUCAGAAACUCGAGCAAGCAACACCAACAGUACCCCUCACAGGAGAAGAAGGACAACUGUUAAUCCAAUCAGAAAAAAUUUUAGACAAAAAAAUGGUCCGCAAGGGGAACAGAGCAGUUACCAAAGUGCUAAUCAAAUGGAGUAACUUCGGUGAAGAAGCUACAUGGGAAGAUUACUGAUCACUCAAGAACUAGUUUUUUCAUUUUGAUCCUUGAGGACAAGGAUCUUCAGAAGAAGAGGGGAAUAUAACAUCUGUAAAAAAAGAAAAAAGAUUAGCAAAAAAAAAAAUGAAUGAAUGGGUUAGAAAUACUCCUUAUCAGGAUGGUUGGAAGAGAAGCCGGAGAACCAGAAAAGAGCGAUCUGUAUUUGGGAAACCCCGAUCCACGCCCGUCUCACCCUUCUUCUUCUCGGGAGCGCUAGGAUUUCAGAAGAGAGAAGAGUCGGCUAGGGUUUCUGAGAGGAAGACAGAAAGAAACAGGUGAAACGACAGGAUCCAGAAGGUUCGGAACCCUUUUAUUCAUUCGGGUUCAGGUAUUGGAUCUAGCCAACAAACCCAACAACCUGCUCCGACAAGCCUCAGAAAUAUCUCCUUGAAUUUUAUUUUACAUUUCAUUUAGGAGCAUUUGCAUUUCAUUUCGCAUCGGAAUUUCAUUCCUAAAAAAUGUCAUCUGCAUUUGAUUAGAAUUUCAUUUUCAUUCGAAAAGCAUUUCAUUUACAUUACCUGUAACUUCAUAUAAAAAGGGCUGUAACAAAAAUUCAAAAUAGGAAAUGUAAUGAAAGUAUUCAGACUCCCUCCAUAGGAGAUUUCUCCUUAUCCUUCUCCUUCUCCUUCUCCGAUCUGAAACCCUCUUCAGAUCUGAACUCCCUCUCUAAUUUGAACACUCUCCUCUUUGUAAUUCACCUCUUCAUCUCCAUCCAGCUCCAGAAUUCACAUAAACACCACACCGAAUUCCUCUCGGGAAGUCGGGAUGUUAUAGAUGAUAUAAGAAGUUAGCAGGAAAAGCUUAUCACUGUUACAAGAUAUUUUGUCCUCUUCUCUCCUCCUUGGGCAUGCACGUACAAGCACAUGUGCCUUUUUUUUCUUUUCAUUUUGUGAAAAGUCCUUCCCAAUGUAUAUGGUCUGAAUGUUCACCAGAAAAGCAGUUUUAAUUGUUAUAACAGACCUUCUUUUGGAAAGAAAAAGAGUUCUAACAUGCCACAGCAUUAGGGAUUUUGGAAUUGCUUAUUAGAACUUUUCUAGUCUCGUCAUCUUCUGAAGAAAUUGGGGACUUCUUUUUUGUCAAAUUUUAAUUUGCUCCUGCUCUCUAAUUGCAUUACUUAUCUGUUGUAAGGAAUUAAAGGAUAAUUUAUGAACAUUAUGUUACAAGACCUCACAAGCUUUGUAUGUCUCCCUGCUUCAUCUGGAAUUUGCACAUACUCAAAAUCUUUGUUCUAAAAGUACAUUUCUAAGACAAAUCUUCUAGGAAACUUAUGCAUAAUUGGUUGAAUGAUUAUAAAUUACUGAUCUUGGCAGUCUUCAUAUUAAGAAGGAAAAUAUGGUUUAAAAAUGCCUCAUACAGAUGUGGAACUAAGAAACAUGGUUUGAAGUUCCCACUAAAACUCUGAAACUGAGCUAAACUUUUUUGGGUUUGCCUAGAAAGCAAGCCAAUGAUGUUGGAGAGAACUACCUGAAAUUGUUUUGCAGGACUAAAUUUACUGUAUUGGGUAAUUUAUGCAUUUAAGUAAACUUUUGAGGCAUGUUUUCCAAAAUUAAACUUGCAUUAUGCAAGUUUGAAGAAGAUUUCUAGCAUGGGUGUCGUUAUCAUACAAUAACCAUAACCAUUGAUCAUUGUCCCAUCUAUUUGGUGUUUGCUUAUGAACCCUCAAUUACUAGUUAUUCUUACCUGGCACCAAUUUGAUUGUUAUUGCGUUGCAAGGUUUACCAUAUUGUUCUUCAUUCCUUGCUUCUAUGACACAAAGUUAAUUACCAUAUUGUUCUAUGUGACUUUGUUCUCAAUUGAUGCAACUUUUAAAACCCAUCUGUUGUACUCAUGCCUUGCUCUAUCCUCUCUGGUUUUACCACAUAUCCAUCCUCGUACUCUCCCUUUCCAUGACAUUCAUCAUGUUUUAUUGGACCCUUUGUUGCCCUGCAUUGUGAACCAUACGGUGAUUUUUUUUCCUAUUUAAUAAAGUUUUCCUCUAACUUGGUUAAGAUACGCAAGAAAAUGGGUCCAUGGACUCGCCACUAAACAUGACCAUGAUAACCUCUGAAGGAGAGUUGGCUGAGUGUAUGGCUUGGGAGGCAAUGGAAAUUGGCAGAGCAUGUGACACUGGAUCCAACCUCUGGAUGUGAAUUUAUUUUUCAUGUCUUUCAAGCCGGAAUGACAAUAUAACAUGGAAAGUGAGGAGUGCUCGUGCAACCAUCUUUGAUCAAAGAUGGUUUUGCUGAAGGGAAGGAUCUGGUGGUGACUGUCAUGUCUGCCAUGGGGGAGGAGCAGAUCUGUUCUCUAAAGGACAUUGGGCCCAAAUAAGAUACGUUAAUUAUGUUUCUCAGAACAAUGUCAGUUUGGUGACAAUGUAAACAAAAACCGUUAAGUAAUGGGACUUUGGCUAAGAUUUUGCGGGUUUGUGCAAGUAAAAGAAGUGUUGAUUCUCCCGAGGGGAGCCUGGAGCCCUUGGUUCCUCGUGGGCUUGAUAUAGGCAUGACAAAUUGUGGUGCAAGGUAUCCCUAUAUUCUUUAUGUUAAAAACUGUUUUUUUUUUUUUCUAAAAUAGAACAAUCAAACAUAAAUAUGUGUUACAUGGAUAUCUAUUUUAAGUAUCUGCUCUGAAAGGUAAA